CAGAGAAUAGUUUAUUUAAAAUUUAAGUUUUGGAAAUUUAAGAAGGGAUUUUUCUUUUCUCUGA
rnacentral:tRNA from 1 species